CGCCGCGUGCGGGAUGACGGCCUUCGGGUUGUAAACCGCUUUUGACUGGGAGCAAGCCCUUCGGGGUGAGUGUACCUUUCGAAUAAGCACCGGCUAACUACGUGCCAGCAGCCGCGGUAAUACGUAGGGUGCAAGCGUUAUCCGGAAUUAUUGGGCGUAAAGGGCUCGUAGGCGGUUCGUCGCGUCCGGUGUGAAAGUCCAUCGCUUAACGGUGGAUCCGCGCCGGGUACGGGCGGGCUUGAGUGCGGUAGGGGAGACUGGAAUUCCCGGUGUAACGGUGGAAUGUGUAGAUAUCGGGAAGAACACCAAUGGCGAAGGCAGGUCUCUGGGCCGUCACUGACGCUGAGGAGCGAAAGCGUGGGGAGCGAACAGGAUUAGAUACCCUGGUAGUCCACGCCGUAAACGGUGGAUGCUGGAUGUGGGGACCAUUCCACGGUCUCCGUGUCGGAGCCAACGCGUUAAGCAUCCCGCCUGGGGAGUACGGCCGCAAGGCUAAAACUCAAAGAAAUUGACGGGGGCCCGCACAAGCGGCGGAGCAUGCGGAUUAAUUCGAUGCAACGCGAAGAACCUUACCUGGGCUUGACAUGUUCCCGACAGCCGUAGAGAUACGGUCUCCCUUCGGGGCGGGUUCACAGGUGGUGCAUGGUCGUCGUCAGCUCGUGUCGUGAGAUGUUGGGUUAAGUCCCGCAACGAGCGCAACCCUUGUCCUGUGUUGCCAGCACGUCGUGGUGGGAACUCACGGGGGACCGCCGGGGUCAACUCGGAGGAAGGUGGGGAUGACGUCAGAUCAUCAUGCCCCUUACGUCCAGGGCUUCACGCAUGCUACAAUGGCCGGUACAACGGGAUGCGACACCGCGAGGUGGAGCGGAUCCCUUAAAACCGGUCUCAGUUCGGAUUGGAGUCUGCAACCCGACUCCAU
rnacentral:rRNA from 1 species